UACGGAGGGGGGCUAGCGUUGUUCGGAAUUACUGGGCGUAAAGACGCACGUAGGCGGCUUUGUAAGUUAGAGGUGAAAGCCCGGGGCUCAAGCUCCGGAAUUGCCUUUUAACGAUCUGCAUCGCUAGAAUUGUGGAGAGGUAAGUGGAAUUCCGAGUGUAGAGGUGAAAUUCGUAGAUAUUCGGAAGAACACCAGUGGCGAAGGCGACUUACUGGACACAUAUUGACGCUGAGGUGCGAAAGCGUGGGGAGCAAACAGG
rnacentral:rRNA from 1 species